GAUGCCGACGCGGUCGUAGGCUUCGUUAAAGACGCAAAGAACGUCCCCUCCCCUCCGAAGGAUGAACU
rnacentral:sRNA from 1 species